UUAUGAAUAAGGAUCGGCUAACUCCGUGCCAGCAGCCGCGGUAAUACGGAGGAUCCGAGCGUUAUCCGGAUUUAUUGGGUUUAAAGGGUGCGUAGGCGGCCUUUUAAGUCAGCGGUGAAAGUCUGUGGCUCAACCAUAGAAUUGCCGUUGAAACUGGGGGGCUUGAGUAUGUUUGAGGCAGGCGGAAUGCGUGGUGUAGCGGUGAAAUGCUUAGAUAUCACGCAGAACCCCGAUUGCGAAGGCAGCCUGCCAAGCCAUGACUGACGCUGAUGCACGAAAGCGUGGGGAUCAAACAGGAUUAGAUACCCUGGUAGUCCACGCAGUAAACGAUGAUCACUAGCUGUUUGCGAUACACUGUAAGCGGCACAGCGAAAGCGUUAAGUGAUCCACCUGGGGAGUACGCCGGCAACGGUGAAACUCAAAGGAAUUGACGGGGGCCCGCACAAGCGGAGGAACAUGUGGUUUAAUUCGAUGAUACGCGAGGAACCUUACCCGGGCUUAAAUUGCAGAUGAAUUACGGUGAAAGCCGUAAGCCGCAAGGCAUCUGUGAAGGUGCUGCAUGGUUGUCGUCAGCUCGUGCCGUGAGGUGUCGGCUUAAGUGCCAUAACGAGCGCAACCCUUGCCACUAGUUACUAACAGGUAAAGCUGAGGACUCUGGUGGGACUGCCAGCGUAAGCUGCGAGGAAGGCGGGGAUGACGUCAAAUCAGCACGGCCCUUACAUCCGGGGCGACACACGUGUUACAAUGGCGUGGACAAAGGGAAGCCACCUGGCGACAGGGAGCGAAUCCCCAAACCACGUCUCAGUUCGGAUCGGAGUCUGCAACCCGACUCCGUGAAGCUGGAUUCGCUAGUAAUCGCGCAUCAGCCAUGGCGCGGUGAAUACGUU
rnacentral:rRNA from 1 species